UGGGGAAUAUUGCACAAUGGGCGAAAGCCUGAUGCAGCGACGCCGCGUGAGGGAUGACGGCCUUCGGGUUGUAAACCUCUUCAGCNGGGAAGAAGCGAAAGUGACGGUACCUGCAGAAGAAGCGCCGGCUAACUACGUGCCAGCAGCCGCGGUAAUACGUAGGGCGCAAGCGUUGUCCGGAAUUAUUGGGCGUAAAGAGCUCGUAGGCGGUUAGUCGCGUCUGCUGUGAAAACUCGAGGCUCAACCUCGGGCUUGCAGUGGGUACGGGCUGACUAGAGUGCGGUAGGGGUGACUGGAAUUCCUGGUGUAGCGGUGGAAUGCGCAGAUAUCAGGAGGAACACCGAUGGCGAAGGCAGGUCACUGGCCGCAACUGACGCUGAGGAGCGGAAAGCAUGGGGAGCGAACAGGAUUAGAUACCCCUGGUAGUCCAUGCCGUAAACGUUGGGCA
rnacentral:rRNA from 1 species